rnacentral:rRNA from 1 species
GGAUGCGAUCAUACCAGCACAAAAACACCGGAUCCCAUCAGAACUCCGAAGUUAAGCGUGCUUGGCGAGAGUAGUACUAGGAUGGGUGACCUCCUGGGAAAUCCUCGUGUUGCAUUCCC